CCUACGGGUGGCAGCAGUGGGGAAUAUUGGGCAAUGGGCGCAAGCCUGACCCAGCAACGCCGCGUGAAGGAAGAAGGCCCUCGGGUUGUAAACUUCUUUUGUCAGGGACGAAACAAAUGACGGUACCUGACGAAUAAGCCACGGUUAACUACGUGCCAGCAGCCGUGGGAAUACGUAGGUGGCAAGCGUUAUCCGGAUUUACGGGGUGGAAAGGGCGUGUAGGCGGGAGAGCAAGUCAGAUUUGAAAUUCCAGGGCUCAAACCUGGCAAUGCAUGUGAAACUGUGUUUCUUGAGGGAUGGAGAGGCAGGCGGAAUGCCGUGUGUAGCGGUGAAAUGCGUAGAUAUACGGAGGAAGACCAGUGGCGAUGGCGGCCUGCUGGACAUUAACUGACGCUGAGGCGCGAAAGCGUGGGGAGCAAACAGGAUUAGAUACCCUUGUAGUC
rnacentral:rRNA from 1 species